GCUUAACACAUGCAAGUCGAGGGGCAUCAGGAAGAAAGCUUGCUUUCUUUGCUGGCGACCGGCGCACGGGUGAGUAACACGUAUCCAACCUGCCCUUUACUCGGGGAUAGCCUUUCGAAAGAAAGAUUAAUACCCGAUGGCAUAAUGAUUCCGCAUGGUUUCAUUAUUAAAGGAUUCCGGUAAAGGAUGGGGAUGCGUUCCAUUAGGUUGUUGGUGAGGUAACGGCUCACCAAGCCUUCGAUGGAUAGGGGUUCUGAGAGGAAGGUCCCCCACAUUGGAACUGAGACACGGUCCAAACUCCUACGGGAGGCAGCAGUGAGGAAUAUUGGUCAAUGGGCGCUAGCCUGAACCAGCCAAGUAGCGUGAAGGAUGAAGGCUCUAUGGGUCGUAAACUUCUUUUAUAUAAGAAUAAAGUGCAGUAUGUAUACUGUUUUGUAUGUAUUAUAUGAAUAAGGAUCGGCUAACUCCGUGCCAGCAGCCGCGGUAAUACGGAGGAUCCGAGCGUUAUCCGGAUUUAUUGGGUUUAAAGGGAGCGUAGGUGGACUGGUAAGUCAGUUGUGAAAGUUUGCGGCUCAACCGUAAAAUUGCAGUUGAUACUGUCAGUCUUGAGUACAGUAGAGGUGGGCGGAAUUCGUGGUGUAGCGGUGAAAUGCUUAGAUAUCACGAAGAACUCCGAUUGCGAAGGCAGCUCACUGGACUGCAACUGACACUGAUGCUCGAAAGUGUGGGUAUCAAACAGGAUUAGAUACCCUGGUAGUCCACACAGUAAACGAUGAAUACUCGCUGUUUGCGAUAUACAGUAAGCGGCCAAGCGAAAGCAUUAAGUAUUCCACCUGGGGAGUACGCCGGCAACGGUGAAACUCAAAGGAAUUGACGGGGGCCCGCACAAGCGGAGGAACAUGUGGUUUAAUUCGAUGAUACGCGAGGAACCUUACCCGGGCUUAAAUUGCAGUGGAAUGAUGUGGAAACAUGUCAGUGAGCAAUCACCGCUGUGAAGGUGCUGCAUGGUUGUCGUCAGCUCGUGCCGUGAGGUGUCGGCUUAAGUGCCAUAACGAGCGCAACCCUUAUCUUCAGUUACUAACAGGUCAUGCUGAGGACUCUGGAGAGACUGCCGUCGUAAGAUGUGAGGAAGGUGGGGAUGACGUCAAAUCAGCACGGCCCUUACGUCCGGGGCUACACACGUGUUACAAUGGGGGGUACAGAAGGCAGCUAGCGGGUGACCGUAUGCUAAUCCCAAAAUCCUCUCUCAGUUCGGAUCGAAGUCUGCAACCCGACUUCGUGAAGCUGGAUUCGCUAGUAAUCGCGCAUCAGCCACGGCGCGGUGAAUACGUUCCCGGGCCUUGUACACACCGCCCGUCAAGCCAUGGGAGCCGGGGGUACCUGAAGUACGUAACCGCAAGGAUCGUCCUAGGGUAAAACUGGUGACUGGGGCU
rnacentral:rRNA from 1 species